rnacentral:misc_RNA from 1 species
AAGUCGUAACAAGGUUUCCGUAGGUGAACCUGCGGAAGGAUCAUUAUUGAAUUCAUAUAUGCGAAGGAGUUGUGCUGGUAAUGAAUAUUGCAUGUGCACACUCUGGAGCUAUAUAAUAUAUACACCUGUGAACCAACUGUAGUCAGGAGAAAUCCUAACUAUGAUUACCCUAUAUAACUCUUAUUGUAUGUUACAUAGAACGAUCUCAUAUUGAAACUUUGUUUUCUGACAAGUUUCUCUUAAUUAAAAAUAUACAACUUUCAACAACGGAUCUCUUGGCUCUU